rfam:Triticum aestivum genome assembly, contig: Triticum_aestivum_CS42_TGACv1_scaffold_227043_3B
UUAUUACUCCCUCCGUCCGAAAAAAAUUGUCUCUUAAAUGAAUGUAUCUAUCAUCAAGUUAGUGCUAGAUACAACCAUUUGAGGGACAAGUUUUUUUGGACGAAGGGAGUACAUG